AGCUCCAAUAGCGUAUAUUUAAGUUGUUGCAGUUAAAAAGCUCGUAGUUGGAUUUCGGGCGGGGCGACGCGGUCCGCCUCUGGUGUGCACUGCGGCGUCCCGCCUUCCGGCCGGGGACGGGCUCCUGGGCUUCACUGUCCGGGACUCGGAGUCGGCGAGGUUACUUUGAGUAAAUUAGAGUGUUCAAAGCAGGCCUACGCUCUGAAUACGUUAGCAUGGAAUAACGCGAUAGGACUCUGGCCUAUCU
rnacentral:rRNA from 1 species